GAUGAACGCUGGCGGCGUGCCUAAUACAUGCAAGUCGAGCGAACAGACGAGGAGCUUGCUCCUCUGACGUUAGCGGCGGACGGGUGAGUAACACGUGGAUAACCUACCUAUAAGACUGGGAUAACUUCGGGAAACCGGAGCUAAUACCGGAUAAUAUAUUGAACCGCAUGGUUCAAUAGUGAAAGACGGUUUUGCUGUCACUUAUAGAUGGAUCCGCGCCGCAUUAGCUAGUUGGUAAGGUAACGGCUUACCAAGGCAACGAUGCGUAGCCGACCUGAGAGGGUGAUCGGCCACACUGGAACUGGGACACGGUCCAGACUCCUACGGGAGGCAGCAGUAGGGAAUCUUCCGCAAUGGGCGAGAGCCUGACGGAGCAACGCCGCGUGAGUGAUGGAGGUCUUCGGAUCGUAAAACUCUGUUAUUAGGGAAGAACAAAUGUGUAAGUAACUAUGCACGUCUUGACGGUACCUAAUCAGAAAGCCACGGCUAACUACGUG
rnacentral:rRNA from 1 species